CGCUGGCGGCACGCCUUAUACAUGCAAGUCGAACGCAGUAGCAAUACUGAGUGGCAGACGGGUGAGUAUAAUGUGGGUAUCUGCCUUUUGGUUUGGAAUAACUCGGGGAAACUUGAGCUAAUACUGGAUAAGCCCUUACGGGGAAAGCUUUAUGCGCCAAAAGAUGAGCCCGCACUUGAUUAGCUUGUUGGUGAGGUAAUGGCUCACCAAGGCAACGAUCAAUAGCUGUUCUUAGAGGAAGACCAGCCACAUUGGGACUGAGACACGGCCCAGACUCCUACGGGAGGCAGCAGUAAGGAAUCUUGCACAAUGGGGGAAACCCUGAUGCAGCGAUGCCGCGUGAGUGAAGAAGGCCUUUGGGUUGUAAAACUCUUUCGUCGGGGAAGAAAAUGACUGUACCCGAAUAAGAAGGUCCGGCUAACUUCGUGCCAGCAGCCGCGGUAAUACGAAGGGACCUAGCGUAGUUCGGAAUUACUGGGCUUAAAGAGCUCGUAGGUGGUUAAAAAAGUUGGUGGUGAAAUCCCAAGGCUCAACCUUGGAACUGCCAUCAAAACUUUUUAGCUAGAGUAUGAUAGAGGAAAGUGGAAUUUCUAGUGUAGAGGUGAAAUUCGUAGAUAUUAGAAAGAACAUCAAAAGCGAAGGCAACUUUCUGGAUCAUUACUGACACUGAGGAGCGAAAGCAUGGGUAGCGAAGAGGAUUAGAUACCCUCGUAGUCCAUGCUGUAAACGAUGUGUGCUAGACGUUGGAAAUUUAAUUUUCAGUGUCGCAGCAAAAGCGUUAAGCACACCGCCUGGGGAGUACGACCGC
rnacentral:rRNA from 1 species